rnacentral:misc_RNA from 1 species
AAACAAAUAAAAUAUCUCAGAAACAAGGUGGAGCACAAUCUUGUAGUGAAGCAUCAUUCACCAAAGAGGUGAAAAAUGGUGAACUCUUCGGCAAGUCUCUCAUGCCUUUCGGUUUGGGUUAAACUGCGUCCCACUAUACAAGUGGCCACUUUUAAUUCUGAGCAGAACCUUCCCCUCGAAACUCGGAUGCUGCAAGAACCAAAGCAAACAAUGCUUGGGAUGA